rnacentral:rRNA from 1 species
UACGGAGGAUUCAAGCGUUAUCCGGAUUUACUGGGUGUAAAGGGAGCGUAGACGGCAGCGCAAGUCUGGAGUGAAAUCCCAUGGCUUAACCAUGGAACUGCUUUGGAAACUGUGCAGCUGGAGUGCAGGAGAGGUAAGCGGAAUUCCUAGUGUAGCGGUGAAAUGCGUAGAUAUCACGCAGAACCCCGAUUGCGAAGGCAGCAUACCGGUGCACAACUGACGCUCAGGCACGAAAGCGUGGGUAUCGAACAGG